GCAAAUCCAAACACAAAGUAUGUACAAAUGUUUUGUGUUUUUCUCCCUCACCCUUUCACAGGAUAAUACCCAUUCUGGACUGUCUGUCCCUGGGCUGAGUCUGUAAAGGGACAUAGUUCUUUUGUUCUCAGUGAUAGGUGGCAUACAUCGUGUGAUGGAACAAGACUUUUUUCUGGCUCAUAUCUAUCUACAGGACCUGACGGAGGUUGUGAGGCAGCCAGAUCUGGAGCUGGGGCUAGGUCCUCCUGAGCAGUACACGGUGGCUUAGGUCAUCACGUCCUGAUCUGGGACGGCUUCAUUCUCACUGGUGCUGCUGUCACACCUUGAUUAAAAAGGAGCCAAAGAUGAUUUAGCUCCCCGUGGUCAAUAGCAUGGAAAUGAGCGAACAAGGAGAAUGUGGACAAUGACUGAGCUCAGGGCCAGACUCCACGGGGCAGCACCUGUAACAGGAAAGGCCGGACUUCGAAUGGUGCCAGGAAACUCCACCACUCAGUUACCCAAGCGGCAAUCCAGUGUGCUAAGUGCUGAAGAGAACAAAACGGAUUCUAAGUUUUGUUAACAGAAAGCAAAUGGCCAUUCUGGAAACAAGGGGUAGGGAAGAAUUUCUCAAAUCUAAGCAGAAGUUAUGAGCUGGUCUUCUCCAUGCCCCACCCAUGCCUGACCUGCCAAACAGUUAACAAAGGACAGAAGUUCAAAGGGAAGAUUCUCCUUUUCUGUUUAGCUAAAUGUGUCCCGAACAAUAUCCACUAAUUCUGCAUGCCGAUGAUGGGUUCCCAGACUGGAUAUAUGAGAAGCUUGGGUGGGAUGGAGUGGGAAAGAGCUCCUGCCACAGCCUUCUAGUAAGUAUUUCCUGAAUUAUACUCAGAAUUCAUACAAAGUUGUGUUAGUCAAGUUCAUGCCCUGCCCACCUUGAGGUAGA